UACGUAGGGUGCGAGCGUUGCCCGGAUUUAUUGGGCGUAAAGGGCGCGUAGGCUGCGGGGCAAGUCGGGUGUGAAAUCUCAGAGCUCAACUCUGAAACUGCACUCGAUACUGCUUUGCUCGAGGACUGGAGAGGAGAUUGGAAUUCACGGUGUAGCAGUGAAAUGCGUAGAUAUCGUGAGGAAGACCAGUGGCGAAGGCGGAUCUCUGGACAGUUCCUGACGCUGAGACGCGAAAGCGUGGGGAGCAAACAGG
rnacentral:rRNA from 1 species